UGGGGAAUAUUGCACAAUGGGCGCAAGCCUGAUGCAGCCAUGCCGCGUGUGUGAAGAAGGCCUUCGGGUUGUAAAGCACUUUCAGCGAGGAGGAAGGGUAGUGUGUUAAUAGCACAUUGCAUUGACGUUACUCGCAGAAGAAGCACCGGCUAACUCCGUGCCAGCAGCCGCGGUAAUACGGAGGGUGCAGGCGUUAAUCGGAAUUACUGGGCGUAAAGCGCACGCAGGCGGUUUGUUAAGUCAGAUGUGAAAUCCCCGCGCUUAACGUGGGAACUGCAUUUGAAACUGGCAAGCUAGAGUCUUGUAGAGGGGGGUAGAAUUCCAGGUGUAGCGGUGAAAUGCGUAGAGAUCUGGAGGAAUACCGGUGGCGAAGGCGGCCCCCU
rnacentral:rRNA from 1 species